GGCGGACGGCUGAGUAACGCGUGGGUGACCUGCCCCGAAGUGGGGAAUAACUGCCCGAAAGGGUGGCUAAUACCGCAUGUGGUGGUGAGUUCGAUCUCACUUCCAAAGCCGCAAGGCGCUUCGGGAGGGGCCUGCGUCCGAUUAGCUCGUUGGUGGGGUAACGGCUCACCAAGGCGACGAUCGGUAGGUGGUCUGAGAGGACGAUCACCCAGACUGGGACUGAGACACGGCCCAGACUCCUACGGGAGGCAGCAGUCGGGAAUUUUGCGCAAUGGACGAAAGUCUGACGCAGCAACGCCGCGUGAGGGAUGAAGGCCUUCGGGUUGUAAACCUCUUUUCUCAGGGAAGAUGAUGACGGUACCUGAGGAAUAAGUCACGGCUAACUACGUGCCAGCAGCCGCGGUAAUACGUAGGUGACAAGCGUUGUCCGGAUUUACUGGGCGUAAAGAGCGCGCAGGCGGUCGUGCAAGUCGAGUGUGAAAGCCCCCGGCUCAACUGGGGAGGGUCACUCGAUACUGUUCGACUCGAAGGCAGGAGAGGGAAGCGGAAUUCCCGGUGUAGUGGUGAAAUGCGUAGAUAUCGGGAGGAACACCAGUGGCGAAGGCGGCUUCCUGGCCUGUUCUUGACGCUGAGGCGCGAAAGCUAGGGGAGCAAACGGGAUUAGAUACCCCGGUAGUCC
rnacentral:rRNA from 1 species